UGUGGAUUCACUUCCAUCUGGAGCCGGAUUGGGUGGCUCCUGCAGACCAAUCGUACUGCUGCAUUGUUCUAGGACCAAUCAGACUGCUGCAUUCUGAAUCCUAUUGUUCUAGGACCAAUCAGACUGCUGCAUUUUGGAUCCUAUUCAACUCAGUACAUAACAGAAAACUUCAGAAAUUCAUACAGACAUGUGAGCUCAGCUACUCAGCAGGCCCUCUGCCUGAAUGAUAAUCCCUGGCAUCCUGAUACCUGACUGCCAGACAGGUAGCCAUUCCAGAAAUAACAAACCCAGAUGAAGACGAAAGGGUGUGAUUAACUUGGCUGGGAAACAGGGACAUGUAAAUAUCCUUUUUGUUAUACUUGAUGGGUGUUUGGUGGAGGACAAGGGAAAGCAUGGGGCAGGGUCCAGGAUGCUCAGAUUACUGCCACCAGACCUCCCCUUUCAUGAUGUAACCGUGAUGUAUUACUGAUGUAGUUUGGGGGGGUGUAACAUGGGGAUUAACAGCUAAUAAAAGUUGGGGGGGCUCUUUUGUUUGGGGCUUCCAUCUUGUUCCACCUGGUGGCAGGUGGGAGUCCUGUCGUGACAGUCUUCAAUAAAGACCAAGUCUACUGGCUGCUGUUUUGCUCUGGUAUUCCUGGCUGGUGUCCUUGUUUUUUGUCCAAGGGAGCCCUCAGAUUUCUCCGUUAACAGUAUACAGCCAUAGAAACAGUAAUUUAAUCUAGUUGUUUCCAAGACAUGAGCAGCAGGGCCUUUAACCGUAUUUUUUAUUUGAUGAUCAGAUCUGUUUAUUCAGCCACGCGAAGGCUGAUUUUUAUCUGGAUACAAUCAGAUUUUAAACUUCAGAAGACUAAAUCUAAAGAUUGUAGCCUUUAAGGGUGUAGAUUUGUAAUUUGGCAGGGGUUUUGCUUAGUCUGCUGCCACGUCGCUGCUUUUGUCUAAAGCCAUGUAUAUAUCCUGUUUAGAUUUGCAUAGAACCUGUUGUGGCGCAAUUUCUUCAUGUCUGGGCUUAAUGAAAAUAUACAGAGCGGGGAUCCAUUUCAAUAAGAUGCCAACUGUUUUCAAUUCCCCAUUUAAGUUUUGGUGACUUGGCUAGGUGGAAGGUACCUUGGGGAACAUCUCCUACUACAAGAGUCCUUUAGAUAAAGGCAAGGGAGCACAUGGGCAAGAAUAGGUAAAGGUAAAGGGACCCCUGACCAUUAGGUCCAGUCAUGGCUAACUCUGGGGUUGCGGUGCUCAUCUCGCUUUAUUGGCUGAGGGAGCUGGCGUACAGCUUCCGGGUCAUGUGGCCAGCAUGACUAAGCCGCUUCUGGCGAACCAGAGCAGUGCACAGAAACGCCGUUUACCUUCCCGCCGGAGCGGUACCUAUUUAUCUACUUGCACUUUGACGUGCUUUCGAACUGCUAGGUUGGCAGGAGCUGGGACCGAGCAACGGGAGCUCACCGCGUCGUGGGGAUUCGAACCGCCGACCUGAUCGGCAAGUCCUAAGCUCUGUGGUUUAACCUACAGCGCCACCCACGUCCCUCUAUGGGCAGGAACAAAUGACCA